rnacentral:rRNA from 1 species
CCCAAGUAGCACGGGGCCCGAGAAAUCCCGUGUGAAUCUGGCGGGACCACCCGCUAAGCCUAAAUAUUCCCUGGUGACCGAUAGCGGAUAGUACCGUGAGGGAAUGGUGAAAAGUACCGCGGGAGCGGAGUGAAAUAGUACCUGAAACCGUGUGCCUACAAGCCGUGGGAGCGUCGCUGGCAGCACUUGUGCUGUCAGUCGUGACUGCGUGCCUUUUGAAGAAUGAGCCUGCGAGUUUGCGGUGUGUUGCGAGGUUAACCCGUGUGGGGAAGCCGUAGCGAAAGCGAGUCCGAACAGGGCGGUAUAGUAGCGCGCUCAAGACCCGAAGCGGAGUGAUCUAGCCAUGGGCAGGUUGAAGCGGCUGUAAGAGGUCGUGGAGGACCGAACCCACCAGGGUUGAAAACCUGGGGGAUGACCUGUGGUUAGGGGUGAAAGGCCAAUCAAACUCCGUGAUAGCUGGUUCUCCCCGAAAUGCAUUUAGGUGCAGCGUCGUGUGUUUCUUGCCGGAGGUAGAGCACUGGAUAGGCGAUGGGCCCUACCGGGUUACUGACCUUAGCCAAACUCCGAAUGCCGGUAAGUGAGAGCGCGGCAGUGAGACUGUGGGGGAUAAGCUCCAUGGUCGAGAGGGAAACAGCCCAGAGCAUCGACUAAGGCCCCUAAGCGUACGCUAAGUGGGAAAGGAUGUGGAGUCGCAGAGACAACCAGGAGGUUGGCUUAGAAGCAGCCACCCUUGAAAGAGUGCGUAAUAGCUCACUGGUCAAGUGAUUCCGCGCCGACAAUGUAGCGGGGCUCAAGCGUACCGCCGAAGUCGUGUCAUUC